UAGGGUCAUAUGAUUAUUAGAAGCAUAGUUUAAAUUAAAUCUUCGUGAUUAAUUUAUUAGUCAUUAGCUCCUAUCUGAUGACUCAU